rnacentral:rRNA from 1 species
CGCGUAUCCAACCUGCCCACCACUUGGGGAUAACCUUGCGAAAGUAAGACUAAUACCCCAAUGAUAUCCCACGAAGGCAUCCGAAUGGGAUUAAAGAUUUAUCGGUGAUGGAUGGGGAUGCGUCUGAUUAGCUUGUUGGCGGGGUAACGGCCCACCAAGGCAACGAUCAGUAGGGGUUCUGAGAGGAAGGUCCCCCACAUUGGAACUGAGACACGGUCCAAACUCCUACGGGAGGCAGCAGUGAGGAAUAUUGGUCAAUGGGCGAGAGCCUGAACCAGCCAAGUAGCGUGCAGGACGACGGCCCUAUGGGUUGUAAACUGCUUUUAUAAGGGAAUAAAGUGGGUCACGUGUGACUUUUUGCAUGUACCUUAUGAAUAAGGACCGGCUAAUUCCGUG